rnacentral:rRNA from 1 species
CGACCGGCGCACGGGUGAGUAACGCGUAUGCAACCUGCCCGAUACCGGGGUAUAGCCCAUGGAAACGUGGAUUAACACCCCAUAGUACUUUUAUCCUGCAUGGGAUGUGAGUUAAAUGUUCAAGGUAUCGGAUGGGCAUGCGUCCUAUUAGUUAGUUGGCGGGGUAACAGCCCACCAAGACGAUGAUAGGUAGGGGUUCUGAGAGGAAGGUCCCCCACAUUGGAACUGAGACACGGCCCAA